rnacentral:rRNA from 1 species
UACGGAGGGUGCAAGCGUUGUCCGGAUUUAUUGGGCGUAAAGAGCUCGUAGGCGGCUCAUCGCGUCUGCCGUGAAAACCCGCAGCUCAACUGCGGGCUUGCGGUUGAUACGGGUGGGCUGGAGUUCGGUAGGGGAGACUGGAAUUCCUGGUGUAGCGGUGAAAUGCGCAGAUAUCAGGAGGAACACCGGUGGCGAAGGCGGGUCUCUGGGCCGAUACUGACGCUGAGGAGCGAAAGCGUGGGGAGCGAACAGG